rnacentral:misc_RNA from 1 species
GAUGAAGAACGCAGCGAAAUGCGAUAAGUAAUGUGAAUUGCAGAAUUCAGUGAAUCAUCGAAUCUUUGAACGCACAUUGCGCCCGCCAGUAUUCUGGCGGGCAUGCCUGUCUGAGCGUCAUUUCAACCCUCAUGCCCCUAGGGCGUGGUGUUGGGGAUCGGCCAAAGCCCGCGAGGGACGGCCGGCCCCUAAAUCUAGUGGCGGACCCGUCGUGGCCUCCUCUGCGAAGUAGUGAUAUUCCGCAUCGGAGAGCGAUGAGCCCCUGCCGUUAAACCCCCAACUUUCCAAGGUUGUCCUCAGAUCAGGUAGGAAUACCCGCUGAACUUAAGCAUAUCAAUAAGCGGAGGA